ACUGAGAGGAGAGAAGAAAAGUGGAAAAAGAAGGAAGGAAGGAAGGAGUGUGCAUGCAAGGUGUGUUUUGUUCCUUUCUUUUUGUUGUGUGUUUUUGU
rnacentral:ribozyme from 14 species